AGCAGUAGUAGCAGGAGCUGUAGGAGGUAGCAGUAGCAGGACCUGUAGGAUGUAGCAAGGGACAGUAGCAGUAGCAGGAGUUGUAGGAGGUAGAAGGGGACAGUAGCUAUAGUAGUAGUAGUAGUAGCAAGAUUUGUAGGAGGUAGCAGGUAGCAGUAGCAGGGACAGAUCAGUAGCAGGAGCAAGGUUCAGGGGCAUGCUUAUGAGUGAUGUAGGUGCAGGGGCAGACUUAUGAGUAGGAGUGGGAGUAGGAGUAGGAGGAGAAGGGGUAGAAUGUACGAGUUAGGGGUAGGAAUAACUGUAGGAGUAGGAGUAGGAGUAGGAGUAGGAGGAGGUAGCAAGUACCCGGUAGACUAGUCAAUGUGCAUGCACGUUGACCUUCUCAACUACUAUUAUUUAAAGAAAAACUAUACCCUAGUGAAGGGAUUAUUGGAUAUUCAUCCCUUUUUGUGAUAACACUGUUGGAUAUCCUAUCUUAGAUUUGACUCAUUGGAUCUGGUUGUGGGUUUGUUUUUCAUUAAAAGAUAACUCAAUAUUAAACAGUGUAAAAUGGAGUAACAAAAAAAGAAUGAUUAGAGCGAUCUAUGUCCCAAAGUAUCGGAGCAAUCUAUGUCCCAAAAGUCAAGGACCUUAAAAAACCAAUGAGUUGGCUUUGAUGGGAUUUUGCGUUCCCACUUCCCAUCUGAUAGUACUAAGUUGAUCUACGUGAAACAAGUGUUGACAUGGUUCUGGGUGAUUUCAAGCGUAAAGAUCAACCUUUAUAAAUAUGAGAUCUUUCUCAUUGGCAAGGUAGAGAAUAUUGAGGCCCUAACUAAUGUGUUAAAUUGUGAGGUUGGGGCUCUUUCCAUGACUUAUCUUGGCUUACCCUUAGGAGCAUCUACAAAGGACCAAGCAACUUGAAACUCGGUUAUAGAGAGGGUAGAGAAGUGGCUUGCUAGUUGGCAAAUAGGUACUUAUCAAAAGGGGGAAAUGAAGUGUUAAUCAAGAGCACGUUAGUAUACAUAUUUUAUGUUAUUGCUUCAUGCUCUGCUCAGUGUUACGGGAAAGUUGCAUAAACUUCAAAGGUUACUCAUGGCAUGGUUUAAGCGGGGAGGGAAAGUUUCCGCCUAGUAAAUUAGGAGUUUGCACCACUCCAUAGUGUUGGGACUUGGGGUGGACUUGGGAUUAUUGAUCUAAGGGGUCGUUUGGUUCGCUGUCUAAGUUAUCCUAGAAUUAUAGUCUUGGGAUUAUAAUCAUUGGACUAAUUUAACUCACCUGGGAGAUGGGAUAAAAUAAUACCAAGUUGGAAACAAUGAAGAAACUCAUAAAUUUAAUUUUUAUCAUAGUAGUGGAAACAAUGAAGGAACUCAUAAAUUUAAUUUUGAUCAUAGUAGUGGAAAAAAUGUAACUCAUGGAAAUGAAGUAAUGAGGUUUCAAGAAUAAUUGAGGGAUAUCAUGAUACUCGUAACGUAAUACAUGAACACUUCACCACUUUCAUGUGUAAUUGAAGGCAUAAUUCACUUAUUGAAAAGAUUAGUCGGGUUUGAAAAACCUUGCCUGGGGAGAACAAAUAGAAAUUCCCACAUGGAAAUAGUUAGUUUUACGUACCUUAAUCGCUCUAAUAGAUCCAAAGGAAAAACCCAAAUUUUAAAAAUCCCCCAAAUCCUCAUUUGAACCCUUGAGAAGGGUUUUCUUGAAAACCCUAUGUUGUAGAGUAGAAUCUCGUUAAGAACCCAUAUACGAGUGUAAGAAUAGCUUAGAAGUAUAUGAAGGACCUUACCUUGGUGUGGGAGGAUGAGGAGAGGAGAGGAGAGCAGUGGAGAGAAUAGUCGUGCUAGGGCUUGGAGAAGUGAACAUUGGGAUAAAAAUGUGAACUAGUGCUGCUCUUUGCAUCACAACUUCUCUGAUAGAGGUGAAACUUUCCAUCACCUACUGUGCAAAGAUGGAAAGAAAUGCCAUGACCAUCUUGCUGCUCUUUGGUUACCCUGCUGGUUUGUUAUAUUAUAUUCUAUCCUAAACUUCUUUGUUUUAAUGAAAUUUUUCUGAUACCUAAGAGCUCAGCAGUUCAGUUACCGUAGUUUCAGACAUCGUGCUACAUAUCCAUACCUAGACUUGUUGUAUUGUUAAACCUUAGAUCUGUCAUUUGUUGCAUUGUUUACUUAAAGCCUAGACCUGUUGCAGGAUGCUUGUGGAAUGCAUACUUCAGUUGUAGAUUAUGCAUACAAGCAGUUGUAGAAAAUAAAGCCAAGCAGUUGUAGAUUAUGCAUACUUCAGUUGUAGAUUAGUGACCAUUAUUUUAGAAAGAACUUGAUCAGAUACUUUGUUGCUCCACUAUUUACAAUUCACCUAGCUUGUUAUCCUUACGCUUCACGAAGAUAUAUUUUAUUGUUUUAUCAGAGCAGAGAAGACUUCGAUUCUGUCUGAUCUAAUCAGGAAAACAAAUGCUCAAGAAAUGAAAUGGAUUAUAAUGAUAAUUCUCAAAGGUUUGAUAUUUUUUUUGCCAAUGCUUAAACUCUAGGAUCUCCUUCCAUGGCCAAUGAUGUCAAUUUGCCACUGAUUUUAUAUCAUUUAGAUCUGAAAUUGGGAAUUAGUGAAAAGAGCAUCUUUCACGAAUUCCAUCCAGAUGCAGAGGACUUGUUCAAUGUCACAUGCGAUUUGAAACUAGUUUGUGAAAAGUUGAGGGACAGAAGUCAAUGGCAUAAACUCCAGGUUCAUUUCUUUUUGCAGAGUGCGCACUGGAGUUGGGACACUGUUUUCUGUUGUACCUUUUGUUUUAUUACACUGAGCCCUAUUUGCUACAUAUAAUCCUUUUCCAUGUAGGACUGUUAAGAAUGGUUUUCUUGCGUGUUGCACCUUAUCUUGUGAAAAAUGUACAGUAUUUUACUUUUGGCGUCUGUCUGAGUUGCAACAGAUAUAUAUUUAGGCAUCGGUCUGUUUCUAGUCAGUAUUUCUAGUCAUUAAUCUUUGUGAGAAAUAAAGGAGAGAAGUAUUAUUGCAU